CCCAUUUUAUUCAAUUCACGAAUUUUUCAUUAUGAGUCUAAUGCAUAUAUGUUUCCAUAUACAUAUAUAUCAGCAUAUAUGUAUCUAUGUACAUAUAUGCAUAGGGGUUCAUACAAGAACCUUCAAAGAAAAAAUCUAAUGCCCAACAUAAAAAUAGGAAAGACUCUUCGGAUCUAAUCAUACUAUUAGAUUCUAUUGACAAUUUUAAAAAACUAUUCAAAGUUGAUAAUACUACAAUGAUGAUUAUCAUAGUAUGAUGAUGGUCGGGUGGAUAUG
rnacentral:lncRNA from 1 species